GAGAGGCAGCAGCAGGAGUCUCCUGGCUUGGCUUUAAAGCAUCAGCAGAAGCAUGUUUGAAAGUUGGGGUUUGGUGAAAUGCUCCAGAAGGGAACAGCCUCUUGGUAUAGGAUGUCUGCAUUUCAGAGGAUGCCAACAAAGAGGAUUUCCUACACACCUUGGACUAAAGGCUAAGAAAAAGCUGGAAUCCAAAGUCUGCAGAGCUUGUCUGAACUGGCAGAAUACACUGGAACCAGGCUGAUUCGAAGAGGCUCUUCCACAGCUCCGAACAACACACACCCCAAACCUGAGACACUGCUGUCUCAGGGAGCUCCUUUCACUAAAAGCAUCAAAGCAGGAGUGGGAGCAGCUGGGGAGCUGCCGGGAUGGCUGCUCCUGCCCACAGUGCCUGAGUAAGUGAAGGACUUGCUCUGCAGUGUGGAGCUCUGCUGCAUGGCUCCAGGGCUACCCACUCCACAGUGGCAAGGCGAGGGUUCCCCCAGCCACCUUGGGAGAGGGGUGCCCCCUUCCUGGGGUGGGGUUUGAGAGAAGUCAUAUAGCUUGGGCUCUCCUUUAGGGUCUCAGACUAUCAGCACCUGGCUGCUGCUCAGAGGGUUUUCUCAGCAUCUCCCCUUAGGGUUAGAGAUGUUGCAGAGAGAGACAUGUGCUGGUUUGCUUUGGUUUUUAAACCAGCAUCAAUCAUUUCUAGAUGAAACUCAAGGAGAUGGAGCUAAACCAUCACAUUUUGCA